CUUGGACUGAGGUAGGACAGCAGGCAGGCAGGGGCAGGAUCAGGGGCAGGUCAGGAAUCGGGACAAACCAGGAUGUGGUCCACAUGGCCAAGGUAAAGACAGGAGCUUCAGGAAGAGCCUUCGGGUGUGGCCAGACCUGAGCUGGAAGCCAUGGCCAGGCUGCUCACAGGGAGACCUGUUUUGGAUGGAGAUGAACUGUUAAGUUGUUUGUUUUUCAGUGAACUGCCCCACCCAAGAAUGUUCCAGUCAUGUCUUAAAAGGCUUAGCCCCUCCAGAGAGGGUCUGGUUUCCCUGAGUCAGUGAUUUUGUCGCCUUCUGUCUAAGAAUCCUGCCAGUUUGUCUCCAAAAGAGUGUUUGCCCUUGGGGCGGAUGGGGGCUCAGCCGGCUCUGGACUGAGACUCAGUCCUCUUAGGCUUUGAUUCAGUAACUUUCCAAUUCCCUCCCACAGCACUGGGGCCACAGGUGGGCGUUUGGCUUAAACCUGAAACUAACCCCAUUGGCUCCAGUCACCAGAGCUGUCUGCACAUAACAGGUAUCCAUGCAUGUUGCCAACCAACAGCUCUUAUCUUGGGGUGGCUUGGCUGUCAACCAGGCCAGGGGAGCUGACUGCUGGAGGCCUCAUCUCAGAAGCAAAGAAAAGCAUCGUGUCCUUGCUCUAGUGUUUUCCAAGGACUCUAGUAAGUGCCUGAUAUGGUUUGGCUGUGUCCCCACUCAAAUCUCAUCUUGAAUUCCCACAUGUUGUGGGAGGGACCCAGUGGGAGGUAGUUGAAUCAUGGGGACAAGUCUUUCCCGUGCUGUUCUUGUGAUAGUGAAUAAGUCUCACGAGAUCUUAUGGUUUUAUAAAGAGGAGUUCCCCUGCACAAGUUCUCUCUCUUUGCUUGCUCCUAUUUAUAUAAGAGAUGACGUGCUCCUCCUUGCCUUCCACCAUGAUUGUGAGGCCUCCCCAGCCCUGCGGAACUGUAAGUCCAUUGAACCUCUUUCUUUUGUAAACUGCCCAGUCUCAGGUAUAUCUUUAUCAGCAGUGUGAGAACAGACUAAUACAGUGCCUUUCAAACAUGUUUGCAAUGAUGUUUUCAGUGUGUGCCCACCUCUCUUUGGUGAAUCCAUGAAGAAUAUUUAGCACAAAUCUCAACAAUUGUGUAGAUCAAGAACAAGUUAUUGGUAUCCCAGUUUCCAAUUCAAAUAACAGCGCAAGUUUAUUUGGCUUGAUUUCCCCAGGGCUUACCUUUUUCCCACAAAAUUUCAUAUAUUUAAAUGUGUUCAGUCUCCAAAACAGCAUAAUAGUCAUUACAGAGAAGGUUGAUUGUGUUUUCUGAACAAAAAGUACAAUUUUUGCUACUUUUUAGAGUCAGUCUGGGAGGUGUAAUUGGAGGCAGAAAUAUUUAAGUUUGGGCUGGUCUAUUAAAAGAUCACAGAACACAUUAUUUGAAUUGUGGCUGCCCCAAAAGUACAUUCAGGUCAUUUGAUGGAGAUCCUGGCGUCCAUUGAGUCCAACAUUCACCCCACGUUUUAUGUGUAUCUGGCAGAAGCAGACUCAGUAACAAUGUAGGAGGCCUAGCCAGUGACAUUCUUUCUUGCCAUAGUAAUCUCUAUUUCUUUCUUCUUAUUGUUCUUAGAGUCCCAGUGGAGAAGAUUGGGCUUGGCAGUGAAAGAGCUAAAACAGGGCUUCCACAACAAGUUACCAAACCCUGGGUGGCUUAAAACAACAGGAUUUCAGGUUCUCGUCAUCUGGAGGUCUGAAGUCUGGAGUCAAGGAAUCAGCACGGCUCUGCUCACUCCGAAGGCUCCAGGAGAGAACCUUUCUUUGCUUCUUCCAGCAUCUGGUGGCUGCAGGCAUUCCCUGGAUUGUGGCAAAGUGUGUGGUGCAACAGCAGAGUGGAAAGAGAAUGUGUGGAUCAGACAUACCUGGGUGGAAACUGACUUUACCAACGACUGGCUGGCUGCAAGACCUUGGCGAUUAUCCUUAACCUAGCCUCAGUCUCAACCUGUGACACGGCAAUGGCAGCUUAGAGAGGUUAAGCUACUUGAGUCACACCCGUGUCAGGUGGAGGAGCUGAACCUUGGAUGCAGGAGUAUCCGUUUCUACUGUCUCAACUCUUCCUAACUGCUUUGGAAUGACAGAAUGAGGAAAUGCACCCAACGUGAAUUUUGCGUUCACCAUUACCUGCAAAAUGUCAGUGGCUAAUGCCAGCUUUGGCUGACUGUCCUGAUAUCCAGAGCAAUGGUUCCUAAAUUUUGGUCCACGGUCCAGUGCCAGCUUAGGACCAAGGAUUCACAGUCUUUGAUGUGAGGAAAAUAAGAACAUAAAAUUGGCCAGGCGUGGUGGCUCACGGCUGUAAUCCCAACAAUUUGGGAGGCCCAGGCGGGCAGAUCACCUGAGGUUGGGAAUUCAAGACCAGCCUGACCAACAUGGUGAAACCCCAUCUCUACUAAAAAUACAAAAACUAGCUGCGCAUGGUCGCGCAUGCCUGUAAUCCCAGCUACUCAGGAGGCUGAGGCAGGAGACUCACUUGAACCCGGGAGAUGGAGGUUGCAGUGAGCUGAGAUCACACCACUGCACUCCAGCCUGGGUGACAGAGCGAGACUCCAUCUCAAAACAAACAAACAAACAAACAACAAACAAAAAACCCAUAAAAUUAAAUGUAUUAAAUUAAAGAACUGCCUUAACUAUGAGAUCAUGUUCAUUCAUUUUUGAGAGUCAAGUGACCCUUCCUUUCAUGAAAUAAUGGUGAUACCCUGAGGUCAGGAGUUCAAGACCAGCCUGGCCAACAUGGUGAAACCCUGUCUCUACUAAAAAUACAGAAAUUAGCCGUAUGUGGUGGCAGGUGCCUGUAAUCGCAGCUACUCGGGAGGCUGAGGCAGGAGAAUCUCUUGAACCUGGGAGAGGGGCUGUUGCAGUGAGCCAAGAUCACACCACUGCACUCCAGCCUAGGCAACAGAGCGAAACUCCAUCUCAAAAAUAAAUAAAUAAAUAAAUAAAUGAAAUAAUGGUGAUAGGAAUUCGUAGUUUUGUUGUUGUUGUUAUUUUUGUUUUUAAGUGCUCUUACUUGGCAAAAUAAACUUAUCAUACUGAGUUGAAAUCCCACUUUUUUUAGAUUGCUGUGGAAUCCCAAUGCCUGAGAAUGAUUGCUAUGGAGAAAGGAGGAAGUAAUAAAGUCCUGGGCCUCUGAGAGCAAAUAGGGAGGUGCCUUUAAUGGAUGAUUUUAGUGGAGACUGCAAUAAAAAUUCCUGUUCAUAAAUAUCACCUUUUCCACUGUGCCCAGCUUACUUUGAGUAGCCCUUGAAAAUAGGACCUAAAAUUCAU
rnacentral:lncRNA from 10 species